UCAAUGAGAAAAAGUACUCAGUUUCAAAGUUGUACGUAGCGCAACUAGUAUCUAAUUUUGUUUCGAUUAUGUUCUUCUGAACUUGACCAUCGAUUCGUUCCAAAAUUUACAACCCUCGGUGCCAUAAUAGAACAAAUAAUUAGGUAUUUGCUCUUUGAUUAUUAGAAUAGAAAAAGCUCUAGUUGCAAAGUUAUACUGUUAAGGCUCAACUGAGUAGUCUGACGUUGCUCCGAUUUUGGUUCUUGUGAACGUUGACAUCGUUUCGUUCCAAAUUUACACUCUCGGGGCAUAAUAGAAAGCUUUUACUCCUUAUUCGAUAGAAUGAGAAAAAGUACUCGUUACAAAGUUAUACUGUAAUGGUGCAACAGAGUAGUCUAAUGUGGGAGAACUCCUGUUAGUAGUCCGCCACCGAACGAACCCCUUGCCUCAAUUUGCGAAACCUCUCCUUUAGCCUUCGCUUUUCGGUGUCGGGGAAAUAAUUUUCAAACAUCUCCUUCUUAAACUCCUCCCAGAGCAUUGGUGGAAGGUCAGAGGGUCGAUCCCGCUUCAACCGCUUCCACCACACCUUCGUCGCCUUGUCGAGGCAAUGUGUGGCGAAAGGCACCUUAUCUUUCUCCGGGGUGUAUAGGUCCUCGAAGAUGGUCUCCAUAGAGUCUACCCAAGACUCCACCACCGACGGCUCCACUUUUCCCCGUUCAAAAGUUGGUGUCUUAAACUUCAUGAACUUCAUCAGAGCCGUCAGCGCACGUUCCCGCUCCACUUCGUCAGCCGUCGUAUUGAGUGUCGCCGAACCCGAAGCUGUCGGAGGCGCACUUGUCAGCGGGGGAACCGCCGCCAUCGGAACCGCCGCUAUGCCCUCACCCUCAGCCUCUACCGGCGUGGGUGUCGAAGGUGCGGGCGGAUCGCGAUCUCCUACCGCCGUCGCGGCCGUCGCCGCUGCCGCUUGCCGCUCCACAACUUCCUGGAGUUGCUCGAAUCGAGCCUCCUGGCGCUGCAUCGCGCCCAACAUUGCAGCGACCUGCUCCCGCAGCUCCUGCACUUCCUCCGAUCUCGGCUGCGCGGGCUCCGCAGAAGGCGGUACCGGAGCAGACCUACGCACGUAACGCCUUGGGGACAUUUGCUCCUGAAAAGCAACAACUCGGUUAGUUAUCUCAAUCCGAUAACUUCCUCAACAUUCACGAAAUUAAACGUCCCGACAACGAAAUCGGGCGGAAGCUCACAAGUGUUCCAGUUCUGGACUCUUAGCGCCGCGUCGUCGGCCGCCGACACAACCGCUACGAGCCGAGAAACUAGUAUCACUUGGAUCCGGCUCUAUUCACGGGUAGAGACAUAACACCAACUUCGACCCAAUCAAUCAACUUCCACCAUCGCCAUGGGUUCACAUUCACUCACGUCCCUAUAACCUUAGGGUUUACCAGCCUAGGGUCUCCUAGGUCAUUCUAGACUCUCUCUUUACUUACUCUGGUGCUCUGAUACCACUUUAUCUGUCACGCCCCGAAACCGAUACUAAUUUGGUCCAGUUCGGGCGCAUCGAACAGAUGUCGAACGGACAGCACCUCCCCUGUCUGCCCAAGGCCAACAGCGAGAUCAUGUACAACAAGUUCCCAGGAAAUUACUUGAAUACAUACAUGAUCACUGAACAACUACGAGGGGAGCACAAUCAGUGCUAAACGACUAAGAGCAAGAUACAAGUAUAAGAUAUACAAGUAAUGAUAACGAGAGGAACAUCUAUCUAUUACAUUCAUUCAGCCUUUAUAAUACAAUUUGAUUAUACAUUAAGCUUCUAAACAUAAUAUAAAGCUUACAUCUUCCAAAAUAUAAACAUUAGCUUACAUUCAUUCCAGAAUAUCUCACAUCCUAUACAUCAUCUACUCUCAAUGCAUAUAAAGGUGACUCUAAUGCAGAAAUAGGAAAGUAAGCUAAUGCAACUAGGGCGCUAGGCCCUUACCGCGAUGCUCGCCGUGUGAACUCGCGCUCGGCCCUGUAGCAAAAUGGGGGUGAGAACUAACUUCCUUAGUUCCCAGUGGGUUCGGCCGCCGACUCCGCCGAUCUCCUCACUAGGUCCAAGUGGGCACAAGCAAAUAACCAGGUAGAUAGAUAGGUAAUAAGCAAAGCGGUAAAGACAAGAUAGUAAAACUACACUACUAUGCCCGAAUCAUAAACAUAUGGAUGCAUGUACAAUGAAAUGGUAAACAACUAAUCCGUCAACAUGUCCAAAAAGUAAAGCUAUGCACUUAUUCAUCAAUCUCAUUUACUUGUUUCUUAAUCUCGUAGCUUCUCUGAAAGCUCGCCUACUGCUCACUAGCCAUCUCGAAGGUAUGGAGGGUCAACUCGCACUACGAACCGAGAUCGUCUGCUGGGACCCAAAAUAGGCAAUCCCUUGGGAUCCAAAAUAGGCAAUCCCACGUGACCAACUCCGGAGCGCACUACUUGUGUGGGGCUUCCAUCACAAGAUUUAAAAACAGACCGUGAGCAUGAUCCAAUCUCCUCGUCUCGAGAAUACCCUAUCCUCUAGGGUUACAAUCAUCAUAUAGUCCAUAGGCGUCGUAUACACCAAGUUUAACAUGUAUCACUUGUUUUCUUAUACACUAUCAACUAGAUUCCCACUCGUCCAUUGGUUUACUAUCGACUAGAUGCCACUCGUUCUUUGUUUAUCAUUAGACCAACCAUUGAGCCCAUCUCUUUCUCUGCACUAUAGGAUUCACAAGUCUCGACCCAAUCCUUAUCGAUCCACUAUGUCAAGUAUCCAAUACAUGCUACGAUAUCAUCAAGGAAAGCAUAAGGAAAGGCAAUGCACAAUCAUCCUAUAAUGCAAUAAUACAAGAUGCAGAAUCGAAAUGUACUAAGACAUUGAAGGGAGCCCGAUUGCUUCGGGAUGGACGCCACCCACCUCUUGGUGAUGCCACGAUGAUAGAAAACUCGACGUUGCGGUUCUUGCGCGUCGCCCUAACUCCUCGGGGCGAAGCGAGCCCUCAAGUACCCGAUUCGGCGAUUUCUCCGCACCCGCUCGUCGGAUCGAGAAACCGACUUCGCCGACGCGUUCCGGGACCUAGCAAUUAGGUUUGCGACCUAAUAGAUUAGAUCAAAACCCUAGAUUUCCAAAAUCCCAAUUCCGUGCCCUAGAAUGGCAACGGGGGAGAAAUCCGUGAUGCGAGCUUCGAUUGCGAGCCCGAACCACCUAUUCAUCUCCUCUAGGUUCCAUUUGAACCAAUUCUAAGCAAUAAAACCCAAUCCUAAGAAAUCUAUCAUGGGUGGGUUUGGAGCUUACCUCUAAGCCAAGCUCCAAGCUCGCUCUAGCUUGAAGGAGAGAGGGAAGAAGACCUUCUUCUUCUUCUUCUUGGACUUCUUCUUCACUUCUUCCUCUUUUCCUUCUUUUCUUUCUUCUCCUUCUUCUUCUCCUUCUUUUCUUUCUAGAGAGAGAGAGAGGGAAAGAGUGUGGGAGGGAGAAAGAGCAAAUGACAGGGAGAGAGAGGUCCCCCAACCUCUAUUAAAGGUCAUUUUGCAGAUAGCUCCGUCAACUUUUCAUCUUCUGAACAAGCCCUCUCUGGGCAUUUUCGCAGUGAGGGACCGGUCCCAGCUCGGGGAGACCGGUCCCUGAGAGCCUUCCAUCUCGGGUAGAAGGAUUUCGCGUUCGGGAACCGGUCCUUGCCUGAGAGACCGGUCCCCGGGAGACCGGUCCUUGUCCGAGAGACCGGUUCCCCAGAGUUGGGUUUUCGGGACUUAGCCAAAUUUCGGCUAUUUUCGCUGGGCUAACGUUCGGGAACCGGUCCCUGCCUGCCAGGGACCGGUCUCAUCAGAGACCCCCGCAGCCCAGCCUGAUGGAACCGGUCCCUCCCUGCCAAGGACUGGUCCCCGAGAGCAAUUCUGCUCCAGUGCAGAUUUUGCACUGGUACUCCCGCGGACCCUUCUUUAAUGCACUUUAUGCAUUAUAACCACCUUCGGACUUUCCGAAGCUUACACACUCGACGAAUAGUCGAUUCCAAACCAAAGUCUAAUCCUCGAGUUUCGAGAAUUCACUUCCUAACAUUCACGAUCACAAGGAGCACCACUGGUGUUAACAACUAAGAGCAAGGUUGUAAGGAAGUGAAUUCUCGAAAUACGAGGAUUGUACUUCAUCCAGGAUCGACUGAUUGUCGAAAGUAUACCCUUUGUGGGAGUUGAGAAUGUCCAAAGCACAAAAAGUGCCUUGGAGUUGAGUCCGCGAGAGCAAAUGAGGCAAACUGCAUCAUUGGGCUGAUGUUGCUCUCGGGGACCGGUCUCUGCAGGUGAGAGACCGGUUCCCCUGGCUGGGCGUAGCGGGGUUGCGUGAUGCAACCGGUCCCUGGCAGGGAGAGACCGGUUCCCGAACGUGGUCCCAGCGAGAGAUGCCAAAAAUUGGCUAAGUCCUGAAGAUCGAGCUCUCGAGGACCGGUCUCCCAGGCGAGGACCGGUCUCCCGAGGACCGGUCUCCCGGGGAGAGACCGGUUCCCGAACGCGUGCGCCCGAGGGAAGCUCUCGGGGACCGGUCCCAAGUCGGGGAGACCGGUCCCUCCGCGCGAAAACUGCCCAGUGAGGGCAGUGCACAGGAGUGAAAGUUGAGGGGCUUUUAUGCAAAAUGGCCUUUAUUUGAGUGGGCUGAGCCCUCUCUCUCCCUCACACUCUCUCAUUUCACUCUCUCUCACUCUCAUUUCUCUCUUGCUCUCUCUCUCUCUCUAGAAAGGAAAGAAGGAGAAGAAGAACAAGAAGGAGAGGAAGGAAAAGAAGAGGAAGAUAAGGAAGGAGAAGAAGAAGGAGAUCAAGAGGAAGGCUUUGAGCACCUCCAUCUCCCUCUCCUCUUCCCAUUGGAGUAGCUCUUGAGGUAAGCUACUAAACCCUAGCUUCUAGAACUUAGGGUUUUUGGGUUUUAUGCCUUGGAAUGGGUCAAAUGGACCCUAAGCAAGCUUCUAAAUAGAUCAAUCCCAAGAAUCUAGGGAUUUAUGGGGUGGUUUGCUAUAGGUGCAAAUCUAGGGUUCCAAAAUGGGGUUUUUGUAAAAGUAUGAGAUUGAUCUCAUUUGAAGCCUUGGAAACCCUAUUGAUAGGUCCCAAAACGCGGGGGCGAAGUCGAUUUUGGCAUUCGGCGAACCGACGUGAAGUUCUCGGCAAAAUCGGGCCGGGCUAGUGUUGAUUCGGGCGAGGAAGGCUAAAGCCUUUUUGCGAAGCUCGCCGAGAAGAAUUUCCAAAGCCUCUACAUCGAUAAAAAGGUGGGGGGUGUCAUCCGAAACUUUCGAACUCCUUUCUAUGUCUUAGAUUGCAUUUAAUCUCAUCUCUUCAUGUUGCAUUGUAGGAUUGCAUAGUAGCUCCAUUCCUUAUGCUUUCUAAUUGAUAACCUAGUGUACUUGGAACGCUUGGUAACUUAGAUAGGUGAGGAUUGGGUCGAGACGUGAAUCCUAUGGUGCGAAAGAAAAGAGAUGAACCCGAUGGGGGUAUUGAUGACAUAGAAAGUAGUGUUAUUGUUAAAGAACAAACGAGUGGCAUCCAAACAUUGAAUGAUAACGAGUGGCAUUAAUGUAGUGUAAAUAACACUAGAGGUCGAUGGACCUAGGGAUAGGUGGAUCCCUUAGAAAAUGCCUUGUGAACAAUGAAUUUAGAAAACUAAAUAGCAUUGCAUGAAUGUCGGGAACCGAUGAUUCCGCGAUAGUCGUUGACCCUAGUGUAGGGCGUCCUCACUUGGAGAGGAUUCGAUUGGGUUAUUGACUCUAGUUGUAGAGCCUCCUCACUUGGAGAGGAUUGGAUUGGGUGUUGACCCUAGUUACAGUGUAUCCUCACAUGGAGAGGAUAGAUCUAGCUCACAGUCUGCGUUUAGGGUGGCAUAGCCAUCCAAUCCCCACAUGGAGGGGAUUGUCGUCGAGUACUCCGGAGUGUCGCGCGACUAGGACCACUUGGAGGUCCGGACCACAUGGAGGUCCGCAGACGGUCCCGGGCUUGGGUGCACUUGGAGCUCCCUCCCCACUUUGGGAUUUGAAGGUGAGUCAUGGGCGAGCCCUAGGGCCUCGCCACAGAUUGGGUAAAUGAAAAAGGUUAAAGGUUUAUAAAUGUCAUUGAACAUUACUAUUCGAACAUGGAUCGAAUUUGUUAGCAUGGUAGCAAACCUUUAUUAUAUGAUGCAUGCAUUCAUAUUCAUGAUUAUGGGCAUAGUAGCAUAGUUUUCCUACUACUGCAUUUACAGCUUUCAGAUACAUAUCUAUCUAUCUAUCUAUCUGUUGUUACUUGUGCCCACUUGGACCUAGUGGGGAGAUCGGCAGAGUCGGCGGCCGAGCCCACUGGGAACUAUGGAAGAUAGUUCUCACCCCACUCUAUUUCCAGUGGUAGGUUCAGGGCUGCAGAGAGAGGACCGCGGCAAGGGCGUCGCGCCCGACCAGUGAGACCGUGGUAGUAUAGUAGCUUUCCUUUUUGCAUUAGUCACCUAUGUAUUGAGAGAGAUUCUUGUAGGUGAGGUUGGAGAGCUAUGUAUUUUGGAUGAAAAAUGAUGUAAUGAAUGUAACUAAUGUAAUAGUUAGUAAAGUACUCUCUUUAUUUCACUCGUAUAUCUUGUGGAUUACUUGCUCUUCUUGUUGUUGGCACUGUUUGUGCCCUCGUUGAAUGUGUAUGUUUAGAAUUUAAAGUCCUGGGUAAAUUCUUGUACACAUUCCUGUUGUUGAGCCUUGGGCGGACAGGGGAGGUGCUGUCCGUUCGGCGGUCUGUCGCCGCGGCCGAAUCGUGCCAAAUUGGUAGUGAUUUCGGGGCGGGGCGUGACAAAGGUACAAGUAUGAAACAUACAAGUAGAUAAAGAGAGAAAGCUCUAUCUAUUACAUUCAUUCAACUUAAUACAUUUAAUUACAUCUUUUACGUUCUUCCAAAAUAUAAAUACAAGCACUCAACCUCACCCUAUACAACAUCUACUCUCAAGCAUAAAUACAAGGUAGAGCUAAUGCAAAACGGGUGGAUAGCUAAUGCAACUAGGGCGCCGGGCCCUUACCGCGAUCCUCACGCUCGCUGGGGACACCCAAGCUCGAACCUGAAAAGAGUGGGGUGAGAACUAACUUCCUUAGUUCCCAGUGGGUUCGGCCGCCGACUCCGCCGGUCUCCCCACUAGGUCCAAGCGGGCACAAGUAGAUGAACAGAUAGAUAGAUAUUGAAAAGCUAUAAUAACAGAAGAGUAAGCUACACUACCGUGCCCGAAUCAUGUAUAUAAUGUAUGCAUGCACAAUGAAAUAGGUAAUCAACUAGCUCUUCGUAUGUCCAAGAAGUAAAGCUAUUUACUGUUCACUGAUCUCGUGGCUCAUUCAAGGAUCCGCCUAUUACUCACAUAGCCGUCUCGAUACUACGAAUCCGAGACCGUCUGCGGGAUCCCACAUAGGCUAUCCCUCGGGACCCCAAAUAGGCUAUCCCUAUCCCACGGGACCCCACAUAGGCUGUCCCUCGUGACCGACUCCGGAGCGCACUACUUGUGUGGAGCGACCAUCACAAGUCGGGAGCAGACAAUGAGUAUGAUCCAAUUCUCCCACCUCAAGGGUGCCCUAUCCUCUAGGGUUACUAUUGCCAUAGUCAAUGGGUUCACAACAACUAGAUGCCAUUCGUUCUUUUGUUUACUAACAACUAGAUGCCACUCGUUCUUUUGUUUCAAUCCUUGUAUCAUUCUUUCAUCGCCGCACUAUAGGAUUACAAGUCUCGACCCAAUCCACAUCAUUCCCUUAUACCCAGCAGUUCAUACAUAAUAUUGCAUCAAAUAGGAAAGCAUAAGGAAAGGCAAUGCACACUAUCCUAUAAUGCAUGAGAACACAGGAUGCAAGAUCACAAGGUACUAAGACAUAAAAGGGAGCCCGAUUGCUUCGGGAUGGACACCACCCACCUCUUGGCGAUGCCGCGACGGUAGAAAACUCGACGCUGCGGUCCCUGCAUGUCGCUUCAACUCCUCGGGGCGAAGCGAGCCCUCGUGUACUCAAUUCGGCGAUUUCUCCGCACUCGCUUGUCGGAUCGACAAACCGUCUACGCCGACGCGUUCCGUGACCUAGCAAUUAGGUUUGCGACCUAUUAAAAUAGAUCAAAACCCUAGAUUUACCAAAAUCCCAAAUCCGUGCCCUAGAAUGGCAACGAGGGGGAAAUCUAUUGUGCGAGCUUCGAUUGCGAGCUCGAACCAUCUAUUCAUCUCCUCUAGGUUCCAUUUGAACCAAUUCUAAGCAACAAAAACCUCAAACCCUAAAAACACCAUUAGAGGAUUUAGAGCUUACCUCUAAGCCAAGCUCCAAGCUUGCUCUAGCUUGAAGGAAAGAGGGAAGAAGGCCUUCUUCUUCUUCUUCUUGGACUUAUCCUUCCACUUCUUCUCCUUUACCUUCCUCUCCUUUCUCUCCUUCUUCUUCUCCUUCUUUUCUUUCCUAGAGAGAGAGUGAAAGAGUGUGAAAGGGAGAGAGAGCAAAUGAGAGGAAGAGAGGAGUCCCCCAGCCUCUAUUAAGGCCAUUUUGCAGAUAGCCCCCUCAACUUUUCAUUCUCUGAAACAGCCCUCACUGGGCCAUUUUCGCAGUGAGGGACCGAUCCCAGCUCGGGGAGACCGGUCCCCGAGAUUUACACUCUCGGGGCAUAAUAGAAAGCUUUUACUCCUUGUUCGAUAGAUUAAGAAAAAGUGCUCAUUGCAAAGUUAUACUGUUAUGGCGCAACAGAGUAGUCUAAUGUUGUUCAAGUUUUGGUUCUUGCGAACAUUGACAUCGAUUAGUUCCAAAUUUACACUCUCGGUGCAUAAUAGAACAAUAUUAUUAGGUUUUACACUUUAUUCGAUUGAACGAGAAAAAGUACUCGUCGCAAAGUUAUACUGUUAUGGCGCAACUGAGUAGUCUAAUGUAGUUCCGGUUUUGGUUCUUGUGAACGUUGACAUCGAUUCGUACCAAAUUUACACUCUCGGGGCAUAAUAGAAAGCUUUUACUCCUUAUUCGAUAGAAUAAGAAAAAGUACUCGUUGCAAAGUUAUACUAUUAUAGCGCAAUUGAGUAGUUUAAUGUUGUUCCGAUUUUGGUUCUUGUGAACGUUGACAUCGAUUCGUUCCAAAUUAAAACUCUCAGGGUAUAAUAGAACAAUAUAAUUAGGUUUUGCUCUUUGUUCGAUUGAAUGAGAAAAAAUACUAGUUGCAAAGUAAUAUUGUUAGGGCUCAACUGGGUAGUCUAAUGUUGUUCCGGUUUUGGUUCUUGUGAACGUUGACAUCGAUUCGUUCCAAAUUUACACUCUCGGGGCAUAAUAGAACAAUAUAAUUAGGUUUUACUCUUUUUUCAAUUAAAUGAGAAAAAGUUCUAGUUGCAAAGUUAUACUGUUAGGGCUCAAUUGAGUAGUCUAACGUUGUUCCGGUUUUGGUUCUUGUGAACGUUGACCUCGAUUCGUUCCAAAUUUACACUCUCGGGGCAUAAUAGAACAAUAUAAUUAGGUUUUACUCUUUAUUCGAUUGAAUGAGAAAAAGUACUCGUUGCAAAGUUAUACUGUUAUGGCGCAACAGAGUAGUCUAAUGUUGUUCCGGUUUUUGUUCUUGUGAGUGUUGACAUAGAUUCGUUCCAAAUUUAUACUCUCGGGGCAUAAUAAAACAAUAUAA
rnacentral:lncRNA from 1 species